GCCAGGGUGUUGGAACCGGUAGACAAGCACGACUCAAAAUCGUGUGGGCCAUUGACCCAUGAGGGUUCGAUUCCCUCCCCUGGCA
rnacentral:tRNA from 2 species